UAAUCUGGCACCUUCGGUGUCCGAGUUGUAAUCUCUAGAAGUGUUUUCCGCGUUGGACCGCACACAAGUCUGUUGGAAUACAGCGGCACAGUGGUGAUACCCCCGUACACGGUGCGGACGCCCAGCGCUUUGUGAUACACUUUCAAUGAGUCGAGUUGUUUGGGAAUGCAGCUCAAAUUGGGUGGUAAAUUCCAUCUAAAGCUAAAUAUUGGCGAGAGACCGAUAGCGAACAAGUACCGUGAGGGAAAGAUGAAAAGCACUUUGGAAAGAGAGUUAACAGUACGUGAAAUUGUUGGAAGGGAAACGCUUGAAGUCAGACUUGCUUGCCGGAGCUUGCUUCGGUUUGCAGGCCAGCAUCAGUUUUCCGGGGUGGAUAAUGGUGGUUUGAAGGUAGCAGCCUCGGCUGUGUUAUAGCUUUCCACUGGAUACAUCCUGGGGGACUGAGGAACGCAGCGUGCUUUUUGCGAAGGUUUCGACCUUUUCACGCUUAGGAUGCUGGUGUAAUGACUUU
rnacentral:rRNA from 1 species